GAUUAAGCCAUGCGUUUGCAAGUAUGAACAAAUUUGAAUUGCGAAACUGCGAAUGGUUCAUUAAAUCAGUUAUAGUUUGUUUGAUGGUAUGUGCUACUCGGAUAACCGUAAUAAUUCUAGAGCUAUUACGUGCAACAAACCCUGACUUUUGGGAGGGGCGCAUUUAUUAGAUAAAAGGCUGACGUGGGCUCUGCUCGCUGAUCCGAUGAUUCAUGAUAACUCGACGGAUUGCAUGGCCUUUGUGCCGGCGACGCAUCAUUCAAAUUUCUGCCCAGUCAACUUUUGAUGGUAUGAUACGGGCCUACCAUGGUGGUGACGGGUGACGGAGAAUUAGGGUUCAAUUCCGGAGAGGGAGCCAGAGAAACGGCUACCACAUCCAAGGAAGGCAGCAGGCGC
rnacentral:rRNA from 16 species